UACGUAGGUCCCGAGCGUUGUCCGGAUUUAUUGGGCGUAAAGCGAGCGCAGGUGGUUUAUUAAGUCUGGUGUAAAAGGCAGUGGCUCAACCAUUGUAUGCAUUGGAAACUGGUAGACUUGAGUGCAGGAGAGGAGAGUGGAAUUCCAUGUGUAGCGGUGAAAUGCGUAGAUAUCACGCAGAACUCCGAUUGCGAAGGCAGCGUACCGGCGCCCAACUGACGCUGAAGCACGAAGGCGUGGGUAUCGAACAGG
rnacentral:rRNA from 1 species